UACAGAGGGUGCGAGCGUUAAUCGGAAUUACUGGGCGUAAAGCGCGCGUAGGCGGUUUUGCAAGCCGGAUGUGAAAUCCCCGGGCUUAACCUGGGAACUGCAUUCGGGACUGCAUUGCUAGAGUAUGGGAGAGGGAAGUGGAAUUUCAGGUGUAGCGGUGAAAUGCGUAGGGAUCAUGAGGAAGACCAGUGGCGAAGGCGGGUCUCUGGACAGUUCCUGACACUGAGACACGAAGGCCAGGGGAGCAAACGGG
rnacentral:rRNA from 1 species